GCUGCAGGGACGCGGGCGACGAGUGCGAGCGGACAUGCUGGGCACCCCCAGCCAGUCGAGGACCCGGGUGGCCGCCCGACGAGUCGGUGCUGGACUGGCGCGAGUGCGAGCCCGAAUCAGGCUCCUUAAAGAAAGACUCCGGCAGGAUCUUCUUCCGCCACGAGCUAGGCUUCGGAUUCAUGACAGAGUUGAAGAGGGCUUCGAGGUCUGUGUCUAGGUCCUGCGUGACGUGGAUCACUUGCUGCCCAGGCGGCGGGAGCGGAGGGGGCGCCGAGGCCGGAUUCAUCUUCUGCAAAAAGAAGGGGAUGGCAAAGGAAAGGUCGCACGUUUCCAGGACAGGCAGCCCCCCGAAAGAAGUUCAGCCCGAGCCAACUCCACCACGUCUCGACUCCGGAAGCCCGAGGAGCCUGGAGCCCUGGAGUGGCGCCGGAUGAGCGCGCGAGCUCCAGCGGGCACUACCUGGGCGGCCAGCGAAGCUGAGCCUGAGCGCGCGGCGGCCGCCGUCCCGCCCGAACUUGCCGUCGGGCCUGGGUCGCUCGGGUGAGUCCCGAGAUUGCGGAGCUGGAGCCGAGGCUUGGCUGACAAAUCCCGACCCGACUCGGUGCCUGGCAGUCUAAGGGCUUCGGCUCUCACAUCCCCCGAGCUGGCCUAAGGCGCUAGUGCUGGGCGAAAAGGAGGCGCAGGAGAAGCAGACAGCGCGGCCGCAGCAGCUCCCGGACUGUCCCAUAAACAAAGUUUGGAGCAAACUCCCACCCCCAGGAAAGAGGCGGGCCCGCAAGUUGAGCUGUUGAAUUAUGUAUGACCUCCUAGUCCCUAGCCGGCCAGCCCCCGCUCGCCACCCCGGCUCCAGAAAACCCUGGGCGUGAUGGGUACUUUACUGGGUAAGAGGAGACGGGUGCCCCCCACCCACUCCUCCCGGCCGCGCUGACCUCUCCCGCGGAGACCUGCAUCUGCAUUCCUUUGAGUUUACCACGGACUUGGGGCGGGAUCAAAGGGAAAGUGGCCUGAGCCUCUUUCAUCAAGGGGUUGUGGACCGAAACCAAGGCCGGGGGUGGCGGAGGGCACGCGGAUGAGGGGCUCAGGCCUAGGAAGGGCCGGUCCUGGACACCGCGCCCUCCCCUGCAGCCAGGCGCCGAGGCCUGCAGCACCCGGAGCGCCGCACUGACCCGCGAUUCUGCCCGAAGACACCAACAAGGCCAGCUUUUCCACGAGAGGCUGCUUAGCUCUUGUGACCAUAUUUGGUCUGGCGAGGAGGCAUCUUGGCUGCCUGGCUCUCAAUUGUCUGCUAGAGCACAGACGGUGCCCAGAAAGUGCCUCUGUCACUGGAGAUGCGGCUUCGCCAACGGGGCCUUAAUAUUUUUACAGGGUAAAAUAAAGUCAAAGUUAAAAUCUGGAGCUGCCUUGAAGGAGAAAAGUUUAAGGAAAAGACAAGGCCACUCAUAGUUUUGCCUCGGAAAAGGUAGAAUUUUGGGGCCACUCCCUGAAUGGCUGCAUCCAUAUCCAAAACAGAACCACCAAAGUGAGCCACUUCCCCUGUUAUCUGUACUUGGAGGUGGCUCCAAUUCCAGACUCCUCAUAGACUGGAAGAAAUUAGGGCCGCCUUAGACUAAGGCAGGCAUACAUGUAUCAUCCUGUGCAGCAAGUCCUCUGCCCAUAGGACUGGCAAAAGGAAAGGGGAAACUAGCACAGGUCACUCCUUGGAAAGUAGAAUCUUUGCAAGCUACUCUCAGAAGCCAUCACAGUUGCAACAACAGGGGAAAUAAGCUAUCGAACAAGAGGAAGUGACUGGAACCUAAUGAUACUAAUUCAGAAGUCACAAGGCUGACUUGAUGAUUAAAAGAUGAAAACUUGAGGCCAGCCCUACUCUAGGAUAAAGUCCUCACUCCCGAAGAAAG
rnacentral:lncRNA from 1 species